UUUGCAUGACAAGUGCUAGGGUUUGUGGAAAACUGCAAACAACUGUGAGGCAGUUACACAUCAUUAUGACUUCUGUCGCCAUUGUCAUAGUUUGUUACUGGUAGCUGACUGACUUGCUGGCAUUGUAUAACAUGUGCUGUAUGAGUUCUUCAGUGACCUUGUAUAUUCCUACAUUGACCUCAUUUUAUAACAAAGUUUUCAGUUAUGCCAAGAUUUCAUAAAACUUAGCAACAGAAUAAGUGGAAAACUUAGAUUUGGUAAUGCUUUGGAGUCCCUUUAUUAAAGGAAAAUAGCUAAAAUGUAAUGGAGUGACAAAACUCAGUACUUGCAUCUGAAGCACAGGAAAGGGAGGACUUAGGACCAUUGUUUAUCAUGCCCAGUUCUGGAAAUGAUAGAGGAGGAAUCCUAGAUAUCAUUUUAGUUAAAGGUCUGAAGAGCAGCUGGAGAGAGUAACUUGGAAGUCAGAAACAUCCCUUGACACUUCUGGAAUUCCAGAGUCCACAGCAAAGAUGUAAAGAACAAACCCAAGACAUGCCUACUAAGCCCAACCUGUACUUUCUAGGUGUGCUGCAUGCUGGAGCUGUGAUCAUUAUAGUCUUGUGCAGGUUUUGUUUUAUAGGUAUAUUCACCCUCAUCAACCGCAAAUUCUUUCUGACAUUCCUACCCUGUUCCAUCCCAGUCCAAAUCCAGCUUGCUGUAAACUCUGCUGAAAAAUCUCCUUUCCAAAUUAGAAUAAGUUCUACAAGUUGUUAGCAGUCACCUUAGUUGCAUGAAGAAUUUUAACAAUAUUUGUGUUUAUUUCUGGCUUAACUAUGCCACUUCCUAAAACUCCAUCUUUGCAAAUGAAAGAGUAAAAUAUUACUUAACAUGCUCUGUGUAUCACAGUAAGAAGCCCUUUAAGCCUGUUCUUAGAUCCUCUCAUGAAAGAGUUGGCUCUAUAGAUCUAAAAUUCCUUCUAAUGUACAUUACCAGCUUAAGGACUUACACAGCCCCAGGCACCAAGAAUUUGCUGUCUGCAUCAUAACUUCCAGAGUGAUUUCCAGUAUCACCAGUGCAGCACAAAAUCUUUCACAGCUUAAUGAAAACACAGGACAUUCCUGAUGGAAGACAGAGCAGCCACUCGGUAAAAUGUAUU